rnacentral:rRNA from 1 species
UACGGGGGGGGCAAGCGUUGUUCGGAAUUACUGGGCGUAAAGAGCUCGUAGGCGGUCUGUCGCGUCUGCUGUGAAAACUCAGGGCUUAACCCUGAGCUUGCAGUGGGUACGGGCAGACUAGAGUGCGGUAGGGGAGACUGGAAUUCCUGGUGUAGCGGUGAAAUGCGCAGAUAUCAGGAGGAACACCGGUGGCGAAGGCGGGUCUCUGGGCCGUAACUGACGCUGAGGAGCGAAAGCAUGGGGAGCGAACAGG